rnacentral:tRNA from 1 species
GCUCCUGUAGUGUAGUCCGGUAACCUUUUGGGCAAGCCAAAAGCUUGACCAAAAUUCGGAGGCUCUUUGAGCCCCCACGUUGGACAAACAAUCAUACUGCCCUCUCGAGGCAGUGACCCGAGUUCAAAUCUCGGCAGGAGCA